rnacentral:rRNA from 1 species
CAGAGUUCAUGCCCGAAAGGGUAGACCUCCCACCCUUGUGUAUUAUUACUUUGUUGCUUUGGCGAGCUGCCUUUGGGGCCUCGUAUGCUCGCCAGAGAAUAUCAAAACUCUUUUUAUUAAUGUCGUCUGAGUACUAUAUAAUAGUUAA